rnacentral:tRNA from 1 species
GCCACUGUGGCUCAGAGGUAGAGCGGCAGUUUCGUAAACUGUAGGCCGGGGGUUCGAUUCCCUCCAGUGGCUCCA